rfam:Xenopus laevis strain J chromosome 6L, whole genome shotgun sequence.
GAGCUCCAGCAAUUGAUCUUCCCCCCUCGAUGACAUCCUCGUUCAUAGAAUGCAUUUGAUUUAUGAGAUUAGGAAGAAUUGCAUCCAGC